rnacentral:rRNA from 1 species
GUGAGGAAUAUUGGUCAAUGGGCGAGAGCCUGAACCAGCCAAGUCGCGUGAAGGAUGAAGGUUUUAUGAAUUGUAAACUUCUUUUGCAGGGGAAUAAAGUACGGUACGUGUACCGUUUUGUAUGUACUCUGCGAAUAAGGAUCGGCUAACUCCGUGCCAGCAGCCGCGGUAAUACGGAGGAUCCAAGCGUUAUCCGGAUUUAUUGGGUUUAAAGGGUGCGCAGGCGGGUUGAUAAGUCAGCGGUGAAAGUUUGCAGCUUAACUGUAAAAUUGCCGUUGAAACUGUCGAGCUUGAGUGCAAAUGAGGUAAGCGGAAUGUGUUGUGUAGCGGUGAAAUGCUUAGAUAUAACACAGAACACCGAUUGCGAAGGCAGCUUACUGGGAUGCAACUGACGCUCAUGCACGAAAGCGUGGGGAUCAAACAGGAUUAGAAACCCCGGUAGUCC